UUGCUCACUUCAGCAGCACAUAUCACAUAUCACAUGGAAUGAUACAGAGAUUAGCAUGGCCUCUGUGCAAGGAUGACAUGCAAAUUCAUGAAGUAUUCCAUAAAAAA
ensembl:snRNA U6 U6 spliceosomal RNA